GGGAGUAGCAGUACUAAUAUCAGACUAGUCUUCGGGCCUGGUUAGUACUUGGAUGGGAGAUCACCUGGGAAGACCAGGUGCUGUAGGCA
rnacentral:rRNA from 1 species